UGACGUAACUAACCACGUGGUAUAAGAUUAGGAUCUGUCGAGUGGAGCUAGUCUACAUUAGUCUACACGCAAGAUGUCCAGCUUUAGAUUGGUCGCUAUCGUUUUCCUGUUGGCCAUUGGUCUGGCCCUGCUCCUGGCACAGACGACACAGCCGUGUCCUGCCGUGUGUCCACGCGUCUACUCACCUGUGUGCGCCAGUGACGGACACACCUACAUCAACCAGUGUGAGAUGGAGGUGCAAUCCUGCCUGAAAAAUCUAAAUUUGAAGGUCAGCCAUGUUGGUCAGUGCUAGUGGAAGAGGUCAGCUGAUCAGAAAGUCCACUGGUCAACUGUAGCUAGCCAGUGGUCAGCAGCAAAGACCACGGGUGUUUGAAUAAAGUCUAGUGGACCGUC